UUUGGUUGACUUUUGGUAGCUGAGUAAGAGGCCGGACGGACUCCUCGUUUAUUUUUAUUAAUAUUAGGACUCUAAUGGCUGUGGCCCUCUAUAUUAUAAAUACGUCCAACCAAACUAAGCCCACAUACAAUUAAGCUUAGCUUAUGUCACUGGGCCUUCCUAUUUCCUAAUCUCAACAGGCCGACCAUCCGUCUUUGAUUAUUCCGGCAUGGGAGUUUAUCUUCUUUCUUGGGGGUUGCCUAGCUCUGUACUAUUUUCAAGGCGUGUGAAAUUUGCUGGGUGUUUGGUUCUUUCACACAUCGGCUUGCUUUGUGAUUGGCUAGGUUGUUGCUGUGUUGUUGUUGUGAUGGUUUCCAGUUAUGGCUUUCUUUCAUACAUGGGUUUGGAAUUGAGUCAUUGACAUGCAAGUUGUUGUCAUUAUCAUGAUUGUGCAUUAAAUGCACUCUUCCAUUUUGUGUUGGUUUGUCAUCAAUCAUGACUUGGGAGAGCUGCGGUUUUUGGCUUGGACAUGACAUGUUUUUUUCUCUCAUGAAGUUUGGUUGGUGUUUCAAGUUGGUUGGUCUCUCUAGGAACUGUUUAUUCCCGAUUCUCAUGAAACUAGAUGCGUUUUUUUCCCUUGCUCAUUCUCUAGCACAAUUUGUGUUUGUCAUUUUAGUCUUAUUCUUCAGUAUUUUCCUAUGCAGCGAGGCUGCACCUUUUUUAAAUUCAAUUUGUACAUGAUUUAUAGGCACCCCUCUCAUUUUGCUUUGAAGUUGGUGUGAGAUAGGCUUGGUGUUUUUGAGAGAGGCCUUCCCAACCAUUACUCUCAAAUCUUCCACUGUCAAUUUCUUUCCCAAUUGCAGUUCCCUGGUAGGUUUUUGUUGUUUUAACAGUUUGUUUUAAUUUCCAUCUUUUGUUGUUGCUUUUUUCGUAUUGGGUGUGUUUUUAAAUUAAUGUUUUUGGUUUUUAUUUUUAUACUCAGUUGCUCCAAGUUCAUCAUUUCAUUACUGAUUUGUUUCUGCAGCUUCUUGCUUUUCAGGAAAUAUAUUUUUCCAGUUGCUGUCUCUCUUCAAUCGGUUAUCUGUUUUUUCCUGCAAUUUUUCCACAUUGUUUUUAUCUUUACCCUUUGUUUUUGUUUCUUCUCCGUUUUAAUGUGCUUUUGGCUCUAUGCUUUUUUUAUUUCUGAGUUUUUAGUUGUCUCAGAUGGUUCAGCUGGUGACUGUUUUUUUUGCAGUGUGUUGCCUCUGCGUCGGUGCCCUUGGUAACCUAUUAGGGCCUUCUUGGUUAGGAGCAAGGUUGUCUUACUGGUGGUCUCACUCUUUUCAGAAGAGCUUUAACAACUGAUUGUGCCUUACUCGGCAAGUUUCUCUUUUUCAAGGUGUUUUAGGAACAUCGCCAUGUCAUCUCUGUGUUUGUUUGGCUUCCCAAAUCUUUUUUUUUGGUUUUGUAACAGCCUUUCAUACCUUCGUUUCAAGGGUGCUUUUUAAGACCUUACCAUUUGUUUCGUGUUGGUCUGUUCUUUUUUAUGUCAUCCUUCUCUUUGCAUGGAAUUUGGUUUGGAACCUAUAUUUAUUUUUCUUUUUGUCAUCUCUGUGCAUGCUUCUGGUCUGAAUUUCUGGUGGCUCUCCCACUACUCUAUCAAUGAUUUGUACCAUUUGCGCUCACCUUGAGUGCUGCAAGGUUUUCUCAUUUGGUUUAAUGCCUUUUUUGGUAGUUUUCCUUGCAUUGAUAUUGUGUGUUUGCAUCCCUUCCUGCUCCCCUUCCCCUACAGUCGAUUUGAUUAUUGUUAUGCUCAAGAGAUCCUCCUUGAUGCAUUUGGCUUUUGUCUUGCGUAAUAAACCAGCCUUUACGUUCUUUUUUAAUAUAGUUAUUUUUCUGUCCCUCUGCCUCGCAAUUUCCAGCGCUGGGCUGGUUUGGUUUACUUCUUCGAUACUAUUUGGUUUGGCUUUGCUUCUCUUUUAGAAGCCUUUCCAUUGUUUCGGGUGCAGCAAUAUGCCUCCUUUGACAAAUCUUUUUUCCAGAUUCAAGCCUUGUUUCAAUUUUUCUUUUUUGUCUUUUGUUAUAACAGGGAUUUAGUAAGUCAAGGCUAUUAAUCUAGCCUAUGUGUCCAGUUUUUUUGUUCGAGUUUUGCUUGGUUCUUUUGUUGUGUUGCAUUCUUGGCCAAAAAUGGUGAGUGAUGAGGAUAAAAGAGGGCAUGGAUCAAAAGAAAAUUGGUAGCUUACCUGGGCAUGUGUGGUCAAUUAGAUGAAUUAAAGCGGCUGUGUAAAUAGAUUAAAAGGCUAUGAGUCUCAACAGGGGUGCAAGGAGAAAAGAAAAAAAAGUGGGGGGAGCAGAUGGUUGACACUGGCCCUCUCAUUUUCCCUCAUUCUCUCACAUCGCUUCUGCAUAAUGUACCCAGCCUUAUUAGACAUGGCUGGAAAAGCUAUAGCCAGUCCUUUAUUCUCUCUCAUUUAGUGUCAUGUUCAAGAGAGCAAAAAGAAAUAAGAGCCGCAGGCUAAAGCAAAAACCUUCUGAUAACUCUAAGCUCUUGCACUGUAAGAUUCUCAGUUUUUAUCCCUUAGUUUUUUGUGUCACUUGCAUUUACACGCAAACAAGCAUUCUAAUUUACUGGUUGUGGUCCUGGAUUUUAUUGUGUUUGGAUAUUUUUUGCUUUGAUGUCUAGGUUGUUCCAACCUGUACAAGGUGACCCCUCCUAUGCAGAUAUUUAUUUUUCCUUCCCUGCUUCUCGUCUUGGUUGCUUGAUUUUUCUUUUUUUCUUCAGUCUGUUAGUUGCUUCGUUCUGACUUGAAUUGUGUUCCCCCCCUUGACACUUCUUUUGUUCAUUUUUUCCUACUGUUUCAAGCAUUCAAUUAAGUUUCUUCAUGCCUUUUCCCUUUGGUUUGCUUCGUUCUGUCUUAUGUUUAUUUGGUAAUGUUUUAGAAGCUUACAUUUUUUUGUUUUUUUGUUGUGCUGAUUUCCUCACGUGUGGGUCUGCUGCAAGCAGUCAUGCAUCUCACCCGCAAGCACAGUCCUUUCGCACACCAAAUCUAUGAUACAUUCAUCAGCACUUGCUUUGCACAAUUGUUUUGUGAUGUUCCUGGAAUUAGUCAUCUCAUUUGCUUUGCUUUUUUGAUAAAACAAUGUUGAUUUCAACUACUUUUGCUUGCUUGCGAAUUGGUUGUACUGUGGCUUUUCCUGUUUUAGCUGCUUCCUUGCUUCUACCCGAAGCCUCAGCAUCAUCGAUACUCAAACCCACCUAAACUUUCAAUCUCCUCUGACUUUUGCGGGGGCAAACCCACCACUGCCUUCUUAUAGUGUGCAUGCUUGCUAGCAUUUUUAUUUCACCUACAAUAUUGCUGUGCAACCCAUGUUUUUUAUAACUCUUUCUGUUUGCUCAUGUUGUCCUCAUCAACUGCAUCCAGGAACCAUUUUGCCAGUGGUGGUGGGUGCUAAUCCCAGGUGCCCUUUCGGUUUCGUCAUCAAUUAAUGUGACAAUUAACACACUUAUUUUUGGAUUGGAUCUUCUGUUCCUUUUAGCACGCUCAUGACUUUGUUUUCCUUUUGCUCCUGAGCUCAUGCAAUGCUCGGUUUUCACUAUUUUUCCACUUCGUACCUACUCCCAAUAGAGAAUAUUCUUCCACCUGCUUCUGCCUUUAAGUCGUAGCCCUCACGUUUGCUGUUGUUUCCCCUUGCUAUGCUCUGUGUUUCUAUCCUAUUGCUUUGCUGUUGCAAAUUGUGCAUUCAAGUUGAUUUUUUCUUCAGCACCUCUUGCUUGCUUGGUACUAUUAAUUGCAAUAGCUUUUGUUUUUUUGGGUGCAGGAACGUUAAGGACCUUUUACAGUCAGCUAUUGUGGUCCGAUCAUCUUUGUUGGGGUCUCUGUUUUUGUUUUUGUUUUUGUUUUUUUUUGCUCCUUUGACCUCCUCCCUCGAGGCAGCUCCUUCCUUCUCAAAAAAGUCCUCCACGCAGCAAUCCCAGCCUUGGCUCCCAUUGUUUUUCACCUGCACUGCACUCUUUGCCUUCUGUAAAAAAUAUUUAUUAAUUAAUAGCCACUGUUGCUGCUUUGGUUCA